GACGAACGCUGGCGGCGUGCUUAACACAUGCAAGUCGAACGGAAAGGCCCUGCUUUUGUGGGGUGCUCGAGUGGCGAACGGGUGAGUAACACGUGAGUAACCUGCCCUUGACUUUGGGAUAACUUCAGGAAACUGGGGCUAAUACCGGAUAGGAGCUCCUGCUGCAUGGUGGGGGUUGGAAAGUUUCGGCGGUUGGGGAUGGACUCGCGGCUUAUCAGCUUGUUGGUGGGGGAGUGGUUUACCAAGGCUUGGACGGGUAGCCGGCCGGAGAGGGUGACCGGCCACCUUGGGACUACGAUACGGCCCAGACUCCUACGUGAGGCAGUAGUGGGGAAUCUUGCACAAUGGGCGGACGCCUGAUGCAGAAACGCUCCGUGCGUGAUGACCGCCUUCGGGUUGUAAACCGCUUUCGCCUGUGACGAAGCGUGAGUGACGGUAAUGAGUAAAGAAGCACCGGCUAACUACGUG
rnacentral:rRNA from 1 species